UGGGGAAUAUUGCACAAUGGGGGAAACCCUGAUGCAGCGACGCCGCGUGAACGAAGAAGGUAUUCGUAUCGUAAAGUUCUGUCCUAUGGGAAGAUAAUGACAGUACCAUAGAAGAAAGCUCCGGCUAAAUACGUGCCAGCAGCCGCGGUAAUACGUAUGGAGCGAGCGUUGUCCGGAAUUAUUGGGCGUAAAGGGUACGCAGGCGGUUUAAUAAGUCGAAUGUUAAAGAUCGGGGCUCAACCCCGUAAAGCAUUGGAAACUGAUAAACUUGAGUAGUGGAGAGGAAAGUGGAAUUCCUAGUGUAGUGGUGAAAUACGUAGAUAUUAGGAGGAAUACCAGUUGCGAAGGCGACUUUCUGGACACAAACUGACGCUGAGGUACGAAAGCGUGGGGAGCAAACAGG
rnacentral:rRNA from 1 species